AUGAACACUGCUGCGAUUGGCCCAGCCGCUAAGCUUCAAGCCAAUCAGAAAGCCAGGAGCAAGAAGGAGAGGCAAGGUGAUGAUGCAAGCAUGCCCAGUGCGGAGCUGAGAAUGAGAGGAGCCCCCUGCACGCCACGUCCUGCUACUGCAGACCGGAGACGCCCAGAGCUCCAGGAGCCACAGGGGGCAAGGAGAGGACCUGUACCUAACUGGAGGGCCUCAUCAGUGGGCAACAGCCUCGAGGACAGCAGGGGGGUCCAGGGACCUCUGGCGGAGGCCGAGAUGAAGAGCUCAGAACCCCAAAGCAUUCUGGGACAGAGGAGAGGCUGCUGGCUGGAGACUGAGACCCAGAGAGAGGACACCACCAGGGGCAGGAAGAGCAGGAAGAAACAGGCUAAAGGCCGUGCAGUGAGCCGGCUGCUGGAGAGCUUUGCGGCUGAUGAAGGAUUCCGAUUGGACGAGGAGAGUAGCUUCUCCGAGGGGGAGGAGGAAGACAUGGAGCAUAUAUCUCACACACGCAGAGCACCAGGUGAGAACACACACACACGCUCACACACACGCACACAC
rnacentral:lncRNA from 1 species